rnacentral:rRNA from 1 species
GAUGAACGCUGGCGGCGUGCCUAAUACAUGCAAGUCGAGCGAACAGACGAGGAGCUUGCUCCUCUGACGUUAGCGGCGGACGGGUGAGUAACACGUGGAUAACCUACCUAUAAGACUGGGAUAACUUCGGGAAACCGGAGCUAAUACCGGAUAAUAUAUUGAACCGCAUGGUUCAAUAGUGAAAGACGGUUUUGCUGUCACUUAUAGAUGGAUCCGCGCCGCAUUAGCUAGUUGGUAAGGUAACGGCUUACCAAGGCGACGAUGCGUAGCCGACCUGAGAGGGUGAUCGGCCACACUGGAACUGAGACACGGUCCAGACUCCUACGGGAGGCAGCAGUAGGGAAUCUUCCGCAAUGGGCGAAAGCCUGACGGAGCAACGCCGCGUGAGUGAUGAAGGUCUUCGGAUCGUAAAACUCUGUUAUUCGGGAAGAACAAAUGUGUAAGUAACUAUGCACGUCUUGACGGUACCUAAUCAGAAAGCCACGGCUAACUACGUG